rnacentral:rRNA from 1 species
AGAGUUUGAUCCUGGCUCAGGAUGAACGCUAGCGGCAGGCUUAACACAUGCAAGUCGAGGGGUAACAGAGAGUGCUUGCACUCUGCUGACGACCGGCGCACGGGUGAGUAACGCGUAUGCAACCUACCUUUUACAGGGGAAUAGCCCAGAGAAAUUUGGAUUAAUACCCCAUAUUAUUUUUAAUUCGCAUGAAUUAGAGAUGAAAGUUUCGACGGUAAAAGAUGGGCAUGCGUCCUAUUAGUUUGUUGGUGAGGUAAUGGCUUACCAAGACUUCGAUAGGUAGGGGCCCUGAGAGGGGGACCCCCCACACUGGUACUGAGACACGGACCAGACUCCUACGGGAGGCAGCAGUGAGGAAUAUUGGACAAUGGAGGAAACUCUGAUCCAGCCAUGCCGCGUGCAGGAUGAAUGCCCUAUGGGUUGUAAACUGCUUUUAUACAGGAAGAAACAUUUCCACGUGUGGAAACUUGACGGUACUGUAAGAAUAAGGAUCGGCUAACUCCGUGCCAGCAGCCGCGGUAAUACGGAGGAUCCAAGCGUUAUCCGGAAUUAUUGGGUUUAAAGGGUCCGUAGGUGGUUAUUUAAGUCAGAGGUGAAAUCCUGCCGCUUAACGGUAGAACUGCCUUUGAUACUGAUUAACUUGAGUUAUUGUGAAGUAGUUAGAAUAUGUAGUGUAGCGGUGAAAUGCAUAGAUAUUACAUAGAAUACCGAUUGCGAAGGCAGAUUACUAACAAUAUACUGACACUGAGGGACGAAAGCGUGGGUAGCGAACAGGAUUAGAUACCCUGGUAGUCCACGCCGUAAACGAU